CAACGCGCCUCUAUUGUUGAGGGUGGCUUGUACCUGGGCCGCGAAGGUAAUGCGUGGAGAAGCAGCGUCGCUUAUACAAGAUGUUGAUGGAAUUUACUAUAUUAUUAAAGGAAAAAAAAAAUCCCCUUUCAAGAAUAAAGUGUAUCAAUUUACAACACAA